ACACACUGUCACAGGCUCUUAUUUUCAUUGUUUUGUUUUGUUUUUUUUAGUUAGACAUUGUGUGUUUGUCACUGAGAUCUUUGACAGACAUUAGCUGUGGUCUGAAAUGUCAACACUGUCUGUUACUGUAGCAGCACACAGCAGUUUCCUGUCCUUAUUGCAGCCAGCGUUUCAGUGGAAAAACGUCAUGAAAACAGCAGAGGAAGUUCCUGUUACUGCUGAUAAUGACAGUGUUUGGUCUCUGUGUCUGUGAUCCCUAAUUCAAAGGGUGCAGCUCCGAUAUUGGCAGAGGGCCACGGCUGUCAUUGACACAGUCAUUGGUAAUAAGAUGGCUCCUUCACUGUGUACUCUUAGUUAACGUUAGAUGUAGGGAUGUACGAUAUGAACUUUUUGCCGAUAUCCGAUAUGCCGAUAUUGUCCAAACAAUUAAUUUCCGAUUCCGAUAUCAACCCAUAUGGGUCUGGUAUUAUUUAUUUAUUUAUCUGUACAAACCACUAUACAACUAUAAGAUUAAAUAAAUGAGCUGCGAUGCUGCCAUCUAGUGACCUUCACUUUAAUAUACAGCCAUUUAUCCCCAAAACUAUUUAAAGGGCACAGGAUCAUUUGGUGGACACCAGACAUUGCUUUAUCAGGUUUAUUAUUAUUGGAGGAAAAACCCAUAACGAUUCUUACAGAUGUUACAUAAUAUGCUAAUAUUGGACCAAUAAUAUUGGUCUGCCGAUAUUAUUGGACAUCUGUAAUUAGAUGGUUUUAGCUAGAAAAAUUAAACAGAUUAAAGUUUGGCUUAAAACAUAUACGUAUAUUUUUAGUAAUAUUUUUAAACAGAUAAAAACUGAGACUGUAUUUAUUGUGAAUGUUUCCAUUAGAAUCGUGUUUGUUUUCUGUUUCUUUUUCCACCUGUGGUUAAAGUCCACCCUGACACUUUGUCCUCUCUGACUGUGCUGUGCUGCGUUUUUCGUGGCCUUUGCUCCGCUCCCAGGUGAGACGGUGGUGCAGUGAGUUCAGCAGAUAUUUCUGGCCCGCUGGCAGGUCUGACACUUAACUGCAGUCAGCUCAGUCUUUAUUGUACUUUCAGCUUUGUUGGCAUUUUUAUGGAAUACACUUUAUCAAUUCUUUUCAACACGGUUGGUGACAGUGAGGAGAGCCUGGUGCAGCCUACGCUGUGAAAACUGUGGCGUUGACUGUAUAGUGGAGAGGUGUGUGUGUGUGUGUGUGUGUGUGUGUGUGUGUAAUCUGCUUAUGAGAUGUAAAAGUGUCAGUGUGCUCAAACGAGAUAAACCCAGAAAGUCAGGAGAGUGAGAACAAGCUGUAACAUAUAAACAUUUUGGAUUAAAAUAUAAGAUUGAAUCCCUAAAUGAAUGUAAAUGAACACGAGUGUUAAAACAAUCAGACUUACAAUCAUCAGUCAGAGUUAAUUAAUGUAAAUGCCCUGAAAUGACAAGUGUGUUGUUCAGAGUUUGAAGUUGGUGUCUUCAUCGCUCUGCCUGAUGAACCUGUCACUUGUGGUUACUGUGCUGUUCUCAACCUCUACAUUUAUAUGUGCAUCUGUCAGAAAAGGCACAAAACAACAUAUAUCAGUCGCAGUGUUUAUUUCUCACGCCUCACCAUCAGCAUCAGUUCCAUUUUGCUCCAGUGUGGGUCAGUAGUGUAAAUUUUCAGAGGUGCAGUAGAAGUUUCCUGUUGUCAUGAGUGUAGACAGUGUCCACUUCUGACCAUAUAUAUAUACACAUAUAUAUAUUUUUUUGUGUGUGUUUUUUGAUAUGUCAUUUUUCAGUGUAAGUCACAGGAGCAGCCAACCUACUGAAAUAAUAAGACUUAUAUAAGAAGUCUGACUGAGGAGGUCAUUCAAGUACCAUUUUGGUGGGUUCCUUAAUUAGCAGCUGGACUGAAUUCAGGUCUUCAGUCAGAGUCCUGAGGCUGAAAUCUUUUGAGAGUUACUGCACUGAGCUCUGUCUAUUUUCAGACUAUUGCUGGCAGGUAUUUUUACAUUUAACAACCGUUUUUUUUUUUUGUUUUUUUAAUCAGUGUGAAGUUGGCUUUAGGUGGUGCUGUGUCUUACGUCGACAAGUGCGUGUGCAGUCAUGUUUUUGGCAUGAGACAAACUCAACAGAAACUGAAGUUGUCUCUAUUGAAGAAAACACAUUUUAACUAAAUCAAAUCAAUUUUUUUUUAUAUAUAAUCAGUUUUAUUAACCCACAGUUUGACAUUGUAGCUGAGCCUAAGUUGUAAGAGGAUAAUCUCAUAUCUGUGUCUGUAUCUGAUCCUUGUGCCAUGCUAACAAAGACUGCUCUUUGUUGUGACGAGGUUGUGACGUGUGUCAAAUUAGGACAAAGCAGCUUUUUGUUGUGUCUAAAACCCCCGCAGGAUAAAAAACACAUACGGCAUCCCUUAUACCCAAGGCAGCGUGUAAUUGAAACUGCACUGUGGGAUUCGAGAGCACAGUUUGGUAGCCAGCCAAGCCAUUAACAAAACUAUAUAUAUAUAUAAAACAAUAACAAUAUAUAUAUAUAAAAUGGCGUUCACGUCUACAGUUCAUCCUGUGCAUCCACUUUUCUCCUCCUCGAUGGCACUUGUGUUUCAGCAUUCAUAUUCCCAUGCUCCUCUGCUCCUCGAGGACUUGGUCUCCUUCCUCUUUUUGAACCUGUGUUUCACCUGGUUCUGCUCAGAGAAUUUUUACUUAAAUAUUUGUCUUUGUGGAGGAAAAAAAAAGGCAUCAAUGAAGCAGAGGCUGAUUUGUUGCCUCUUGUGACGCAGCGUCUUGUCUCCUCAGACGAACCCUGGGACGUUGGAGCAGAUGGUGUGAUCAUCAACCAAAAACAGAGAAGUCUCCUCUGGUGUUUGUAUUUUCUCUGCAGACUUUGAAAACAAGGGCCCCUCUGUGACGUGUGAUUCAUUCUCCCUGGUGGUUAGUUUCCUGAGACCUCAUUCUUGAUCGUGAUUUAAACCUCUUCUUGUUGUCGUCUCCUCCUCCUCCUCCUGUUGUACCCCAUUCCUCUGGCCAUUUGUUGAUCUCCCCUUGUAUCGAUAAAGGCCCAUGAACUCAUCUUGACAGCUUUGGCAAAGGGCAGUGAGACGCUAAAGUCCACAGUGAGGGGAGUCGGCUCACACUGUGAUUUAUGUUCCGCCUCACACAGUAGAGAGCUGCUGCUGCUGGACUGAUUAUCUGAGGAUUUAUGGUCAGACAGUGGCCUUGGUGAUGUUGUACCUCCUAUUUGUCUUCUGGUCACUAUCACCCAUAGCAUUCAUGAACAUUACUGCCUCCAGACCCUGCUCCCCUCCUUUUAGGAAGAUGGAAAGUUUGGCUCCAGUUCAAAUAGUGAUAGAGGGUGAGAGAGUUUUCUUUUUUUCUCGAUGUAUCCGCAUGAUCUAACCUCCAGUUUGGCUUUGCCCUCGUUGAUCUCUAACGGAUCAGUCAUCACCGAACCAUCCUGACACCAGGCAGGAGGCUCAGAGAGAUUUGCGGGAGCAGCUGCAUGAACUCGUUUUUCCAUUAACAUGAGAGAAUGAACUGCUCACCUGGCUCUGGGUCCAUGGUAUUUGGUAGAAAGGCACUAAACAAGAGCUUUAAAGGAUCAGAUAAGACCCAAGGUUUGAAGGAUAAGUCAAAGGUUUUUACGAAAAAAUAUUGUCUUGUUCAAAGUAAUGGAUUAAGGGAAAAAAGGAAUUGGUCCAACAUUGUUAGAACUGGUCAAUAGUUUGUAAAAGCAGCCCCACUGUUUUAAAGUGUAUAGUUGAGGCAGAUUUCAAGACCCUAUGCAUAAUUAUUACGUAUAAUUAACUUCUUAUGUGCUCAAAAUAUCAUGUCAAAUGCUACACAACAUUAAGUGUCUUCAUAUGAAAAACUACUGUGCCAGUUUACCUCGUCCAUUUUUUAAAACUACACUACAAAUAUAUUAUCACUGACAAAAUUCCUACAGACACUUCUGGUAAAUUCCAUACCAUAAUAAAAGGCUGUACAUGUAGUUCUGUCAGUACUGUCCACAGCCUAAUGUCACAGCUGAGGUUUCUCAGCUCUAAUGUAAGCAGUAAAAAUCUUCUUGCUCCUAGAGACUUAACUAAAAAAAAAACUGAGUGUUGUGACUGCAUUUACAUUUUGAAAAAAAUGAAACCCACGAAACAAAAA